UUGGCCAAUGAUAGUAGGAGAAAAAUAAUAAUGCAUUCAUUACCUCUCAUUGGCUGAGUACAUUUUGUGGAAUGGAGACUUAGAGGUCUAUUAUUCUCUUGCAAGAGGUCUGUUUUCUCAAGUCGUCUUCCAGGACGAAACGCGUUAACCCCACCACCUAAAAGGCAGUCCUCUA